AUUGAACGCUGUCGGCAGGCCUAACACAUGCAAGUCGAACGAGUGGCGGACGGGGGAGUAAUGUCUGGGAACCUGCCCGAUGGAGGGGGAUAACUACUGGAAACGGUAGCUAAUACCGCAUACCAUCCGAGGUGCCCAGAUGGGUUUAGCUAGACGGUGGGGUAACGGCUAACCUAGGCGACGAUCCCUAGCUGGUCUGAGAGGCUGACCAGCCACACUGGAACUGAGACACGGUCCAGACUCCUACGGGAGGCAGCAGUGGGGAAUAUUGCACAAGGGGCGCAAGCCUGAUGCAGCCAUGCCGCGUGUGUGAAGAAGGCUUUCGGGUGGUAAAGUACUUUCGGCGGGGAAGCGUUAUUCGCAGAAAAAGCACCGGCUAACUCCGUGCCAGCAGCCGCGGUAAUUC
rnacentral:rRNA from 1 species